rnacentral:rRNA from 1 species
AGUGAACGCUGGCGGUAGGCCUAACACAUGCAAGUCGAACGGCAGCACAGAGGAGCUUGCUCCUUGGGUGUCGAGAGGCGGACGGGUGAGGAAUACAUCGGAAUCUACUCUGUCGUGGGGGAUAACGUAGGGAAACUUACGCUAAUACCGCAUACGACCUACGGGUGAAAGCAGGGGACCUUCGGGCCUUGCGCGAUUGAAUGAGCCGAUGUCGGAUUAGCUAGUUGGCGGGGUAAAGGCCCACCAAGGCGACGAUCCGUAGCUGGUCUGAGAGGAUGAUCAGACACACUGGAACUGGGACACGGUCCAGACUCCUACGGGAGGCAGCAGUGGGGAAUCUUGGACAAGGGGCGCAAGCCUGAUCCAGCCAUGCCGCGUGGGUGAAGAAGGCCAUCGGGUUGUAAAGCCCUUUUGUUGGGAAAGAAAUCCAGCUGGCUAAUACCCGGUUGGGAUGACGGUACCCAAAGAAUAAGCACCGGCUAACUUCGUGCCAGCCGCCGCCGUAA